rnacentral:rRNA from 1 species
AACGAACGCUGGCGGCAUGCCUAACACAUGCAAGUCGAACGAGACCUUCGGGUCUAGUGGCGCACGGGUGCGUAACGCGUGGGAACCUGCCCUUAGGUUCGGAAUAACUCCCCGAAAGGGGUGCUAAUACCGGAUAAUGUCUUCGGACCAAAGAUUUAUCGCCUUUGGAUGGGCCCGCGUUGGAUUAGCUAGUUGGUAGGGUAAAAGCCUACCAAGGCGACGAUCCAUAGCUGGUCUGAGAGGAUGAUCAGCCACACUGGGACUGAGACACGGCCCAGACUCCUACGGGAAGACGCAGUGGGGAAUAUUGGACAAUGGGCGAAAGACUGAUCCAGCAAUGACGCGUGAGUGAUGAAGGUCUUAGCGUUGUAAAGCUCUUUUAAACGGGAUGAUAAUGACAGUACCGGGAGAAUAAGCACCGGCUAACUCCGUG